rnacentral:rRNA from 1 species
GAGUUUGAUCCUGGCUCAGAACGAACGUUGGCGGUGUGGAUUAGGCAUGCAAGUCGCGCGCGAAAGUCGCAAGACGAGUAAAGCGGCGGACGGGCGAGUAACGCGUAAUCAACCUGCCCUUGAGACUGGAAUAGCCACUGGAAACGGUGGGUAAUGCCAGAUGGCCCCCCGGGUUGGCAUCAACCUGUGGGUAAACGGUGGCGCAAGCUGCUGCUCAGGGAGGGGAUUGCGUCCUAUCAGCUAGUUGGCGGGGUAAUGGCCCACCAAGGCGAUGACGGGUAGCUGGUCUGAGAGGACGACCAGCCGCACUGGGACUGAGACACUGCCCAGACUCCUACGGGAGGCUGCAGUCGAGAAUCUUCCGCAAUGGGCGAAAGCCUGACGGAGCGACACCGCGUGCAGGACGAAGGCCUUCGGGUUGUAAACUGCUGUCACGCCAUAGGAAACCCAGGCCGUCAAUACCGGUCUGGUCGACUAAAGCGAGAGGAAGUGGCGGCUAACUCUGUGCCAGCAGCCGCGGUAAGACAGAGGCCACGAACGUUGUUCGGAAUUACUGGGCAUAAAGCGCACGUAGGCGGCUAGGUCCGUCCGAUGUGAAAUACCCCGGCUCAACCGGGGAACUGCAUCGGAUACAGCGUGGCUUGAGGAUGGUUGGGGUGAGU